CUGUGCUGCAUCACAUGAAUUAGCGUGACGGCCUUCCUGCUCGGUUCUCCAGGGCUGCAGACCUGUUGUAGGCUAAUCAGCUGCAUGAGACACACCUGGGCCAGUUUUAUAAUCUUGUCACAGCGUCUUUGCGGCAGUUUGUUUCUCGUUGAUCGUUAACCCUGCAGCCAGUGGAGACCUGACCUCCUGCCUGAUAAAGAUCUGUCAGCUCCUUUCUGAGCAGGAGAAGCUUUAUGGCCUGAUUUACUGAGUGAAUGUUCUGUCAAACAAACUGUCUCAGUUUAAUCUGAUCAUUAGGCUGUCAAAUAAACUCAAACAUGUCUUCAAAUACAGAA